rnacentral:rRNA from 1 species
UACGUAGGUGGCAAGCGUUGUCCGGAUUUACUGGGCGUAAAGGGCUCGUAGGCGGCCAACUAAGUCGGAUGUGAAAUCCCCAGGCUCAACCUGGGAACUGCAUCCGAUACUGGAUGGCUUGAAUUCGGGAGAGGGAUGCAGAAUUCCAGGUGUAGCGGUGAAAUGCGUAGAUAUCUGGAGGAAUACCGGUGGCGAAGGCGGCAUCCUGGACCGACAUUGACGCUGAGGAGCGAAAGCCAGGGGAGCGAACAGG